GACACGGAUGUUGGGGUUACUGCUGGCAUGAGUGAGAAUGAGACAACUCCAUGUGAUGUGGCCCUCUUGGUUACUACAGCAGGAUGCGUCCCCUGGAGGCUUCUGGUGUCUCACUAUCUCCUUUGGCAUCAGUGAAAAACAGGAUUAGUAAGGGACCACCAGGGAGCAGCAGAGAGAAUCAAGAAAACUGCCAGUGAAAUGAAAGAAGGCUGCUUUCUGAUCUGAGGAACCACUGCCCUGACAAAUCCUAUCAAGAUCUGUGCCAGGCACUGAAUCAGUUUGCAAGACAAAAGAAGUAGAAGCCCAAGCCUGUAAGCUGGAAAAGUACGCCCCCCCGGCGGACACCUGAGAGCGAAGGGCUACGAGGUGCAGAUGGACGCCCUGAUCGUCGGAACCCUGGGCGCCUGGGACCCCUGCAACGAGCGUGUGCUGUGGACCUGCAGGAUCGAUCAAUGCUACGCAUGGCUCAUGUGGCGCCUCAUGGUCUCAGACACCAUCCGAUUGUCCAGGGACAUCUACAUCGAGCACAUCACCGGCCACCGACAGUACUAGGAGGCGUGAGCCGGAGUAACAUUGUUCUUCGACUACGAGAAAGGGACCAAGAGACUUUCUCCGUUGGAUCAUAUGAACUGGAACCAUAAACUCCCUGAACAUUAAAUCUCACCAAAUGAGGGUCAAUCCAGCCUCACCAUCGUAUCCACUCAUUAUACUCCACACCCGAAGAGAACCACUUUAUGAACUUCAUACCCUCAUAUCUCAAUGUCUGUACUUUGACCCAUCAACCUUUU